rnacentral:rRNA from 1 species
AGGCAAGCAGCUUUGCUUGCUUCGCUGACGAGUGGCGGACGGGUGAGUAAUGUCUGGGAAACUGCCUGAUGGAGGGGGAUAACUACUGGAAACGGUAGCUAAUACCGCAUAACGUCGCAAGACCAAAGAGGGGGACCUUCGGGCCUCUUGCCAUCGGAUGUGCCCAGAUGGGAUUAGCUAGUAGGUGGGGUAACGGCUCACCUAGGCGACGAUCCCUAGCUGGUCUGAGAGGAUGACCAGCCACACUGGAACUGAGACACGGUCCAGACUCCUACGGGAGGCAGCAGUGGGGAAUAUUGCACAAUGGGCGCAAGCCUGAUGCAGCCAUGCCGCGUGUAUGAAGAAGGCCUUCGGGUUGUAAAGUACUUUCAGCGGGGAGGAAGGCGAUAAGGUUAAUAACCUUGUCGAUUGACGUUACCCGCAGAAGAAGCACCGGCUAACUCCGUGCCAGCAGCCGCGGUAAUACGGAGGGUGCAAGCGUUAAUCGGAAUUACUGGGCGUAAAGCGCACGCAGGCGGUCUGUCAAGUCGGAUGUGAAAUCCCCGGGCUCAACCUGGGAACUGCAUUCGAAACUGGCAGGCUAGAGUCUUGUAGAGGGGGGUAGAAUUCCAGGUGUAGCGGUGAAAUGCGUAGAGAUCUGGAGGAAUACCGGUGGCGAAGGCGGCCCCCUGAC